UAGAAUGCGAUAUGCAAUGUGAAUUGCAGAACCACGAAUCAUCGGAUCUUUGAACGCGACUGGCGCUGAUCCAAUCAGCAUGCUUGUUUCAGUGUGCGCAAACAAAUAAACAAUAAUAAUGUGAGAGAUUAUCUCUCAUGAAAUAAAUGCUCUCUGCAGCAGUCACACUAAUCUGUGAGCUGAAGAUUGAUAUUUUAUCUUAUUUGCACCUGAAAUCAAGCAAGAUGACCCGCUGGACUUAA
rnacentral:misc_RNA from 1 species